rnacentral:rRNA from 1 species
UGAAUACGAGACGCUAAGGCGUCGAAGUAGUGUAUGUCAUACUUCCAAGAAAAGCUUGCACUGUCAUAGAUAAAAAACGCCUGUACCAUAACCGACACAGGUGGGUAGGUAGAGUAUACUAAGGGGCGCGAGAUGACUCUCUCUAAGGAACUCGGCAAAAUAACUCCGUAACUUCGGGAGAAGGAGUGCCUUAUUCGUAAGGUUGCAAUAACAAGAUCCAAGCAACUGUUUAUCAAAAACACAGGUCUCCGCUAAGUCGUAAGACGAUGUAUGGGGGCUGACGCCUGCCCAGUGCCAGAAGGUUAAAGAAGUUGGUUAGCAAUUGCGAAGCUGAUAACUGAAGCCCUGGUGAACGGCGGCCGUAACGAUAACGGUCCUAAGGUAGCGAAAUUCCUUGUCGGGUAAGUUCCGACCCGCACGAAAGGCGUAAUGAUUUGGAUACUGUCUCGGAGAGGGGCUCGGUGAAAUAGACUUGUCUGUGAAGAUGCGGACUACCUGCACCAGGACAGAAAGACCCUAUGAAGCUUUACUGUAACUUGAAAUUGAAAUUGGACUUUAUUCGCGCAGUAUAGGUGGGAGGCGUUGAUUAUAAUCUUGUGGGAUUAUUGGAGCCAUCAGUGAGAUACCACUCUUGUAAUGUUAGAUUUCUAACUUUGAAUCAUUAUCUGGUCAAAGAACAGUUUCAGGCGGGCAGUUUGACUGGGGCGGUCGCCUCCUAAACGGUAACGGAGGCGUACAAAGGUUUCCUCUGAACGGUUAGAAAUCGUAUCUAGAGUGUAAAGGCAUAAGGAAGCUUGACUGUGAGACCUACAAGUCGAGCAGGGACGAAAGUCGGUCUUAGUGAUCUGACGGUACUGAGUGGAAAGGCCGUCACUCAACGGAUAAAAGUUACUCUAAGGAUAACAGGCUGAUCUCCCCCAAGAGUUCACAUCGACGGGGAGGUUUGGCACCUCGAUGUCGGCUCAUCGCAUCCUGGGGCGGUAGUACGUCCCAAGGGUUGGGCUGUUCGCCCAUGAAAGCGGUACGCGGGCUGGGUUCAGAACGUCGUGAGACAGUUCGGUCCAUAUCCGGUGUAGGCGUUAGAAUAUUGAGAGGAGCCUUCUUUAGUACGAGAGGACCGAGAAGGACAUACCUCUGGUGUACCAGUUAUCGUGCCAACGGUAAACGCUGGGUAGCUAUGUAUGGAGUGGAUAACCGCUGAAAGCAUCUAAGUGGGAAGCCCACCUCAAGAUAAGUAUUCUCAUC